GGUUUCAUGGCGCAGUUGGUUAGCGCGUCUCCUUAACACUUCCGAUUCCGGAUCGUUAGGGAUUACGGAGGAGGUCGCCGGUUCGAACCCGGCUGAAAUCA
rfam:Tstilago hordei, Th4857-4, WGS project CAGI01000000 data, contig: THOR_scaffold_5.00012